rnacentral:rRNA from 1 species
GAUGAACGCUAGCGGCAGGCCUAAUACAUGCAAGUCGAACGGUGUCUUCGGACAUAGUGGCGCACGGGUGCGUAACACGUAUGCAACCUACCUUACAUUGGGGGAUAGCCUUUCGAAAGGGAGAUUAAUACCGCAUAAGACAGUAGCUGGGCAUCCAGCAGCUGUUAAAGAUUUAUCGAUGUAAGCUGGGCAUGCGUCCAAUUAGCUAGUUGGUGAGGUAACGGCUCACCAAGGCAAUGAUUGGUAGGGGAACUGAGAGGUCAAUCCCCCACACGGGCACUGAGAUACGGGCCAGACUCCUACGGGAGGCAGCAGUAGGGAAUAUUGGGCAAUGGACGCAAGUCUGACCCAGCCAUGCCGCGUGCAGGAUGAAGGCGUUAUGCGUUGUAAACUGCUUUUAUACAGGAAGAAACGACUCUUGCGAGAGGCAUUGACGGUACUGUACGAAUAAGCACCGGCUAACUCCGUGCCAGCCGCCGCGGUAAGAC